rnacentral:rRNA from 1 species
AUACGGAGGAUCCGAGCGUUAUCCGGAUUUAUUGGGUUUAAAGGGUGCGCAGGCGGCCAUUUAAGUCAGCGGUUAAAUCGUGGGGCUCAACCCCAUUCUGCCGUUGAUACUGGGUGGCUUGAUUGCGGUCGAGGUUGGCGGAAUUCGUUGUGUAGCGGUGAAAUGCAUAGAUAUGACGAAGAACACCGAUUGCGUAGGCAGCUGACCAGACCGCAAAUGACGCUCAUGCACGAAAGUGCGGGGAUCGAACAGGAUUAGAUACCCUGGUAGUCCGCACAGUAAACGAUGAAUACUUGUUUUCGGCGAUAUAAUGUCGGAGGCAAAGCGAAAGCGAUAAGUAUUCCACCUGGGGGGUACGCCGGCGACGGUGAAACUCAAAUGAAUUGGCGGGG